UGGGAAUGGGGGCGGGGUUUUUGGGGACCCCGGGGCUGCCCCGCCCCCCCCAGACCCCCAAUCCCCCCCGCCCCCCCAGGGCCCCGCCCCCCCGCUGGAGGUGGGGGUGGAGCUGAGCCCGCCCCAGGCCGAGCUGGACCUGGGGCUGCUGGAGCGCCUCGGCCCCGCCCUCGACGCCAUCUUCGACCACGCCCACGCCGGGGACACGUCCACCGGGGAGGACACGCCCACUGAAGAGGUGCGGUGGGCGUGGCCGCUGGUGCGGUGGGCGGCGCCGGGGGCGGAGCUCCGGCUGUGGCUGCCCCUGACCGACCUGCGCCCCCCCCCCGCCCGCGCCCCCCCGCCCCGGCGCCGCCCCGAGAGCCUCCGGGCGCACCUGGGGAGACCCCGCGGCUGGGCGGGGCCGGGGGGCGGGGCCCUGGCCUGCGAGCACCUGGAAGUGACGUACGAGGCCGAGGACAUGGGGACCCUCCCCUGCCUGAGCGCCGAGCCGGGGCCCGGCCCGGGGGGCCCCCGCAGCGUCCCCACGUGAGCGGGGGGGUCUUUGAGGGUCUUGGGGGGUUUUUAGAGGG
rnacentral:lncRNA from 1 species